AGGAUCAUUAAUGAGUUGUGAUGGGGUUUGAUGCUGGCAGCCAAUUUUUGGAUGCAUGUGCUUGCCCUAACAAUCAUCUUCCAAACACCUGUGCACAUUUUUGAGGGAGUUUUGAGUUUAUUGCCAUUUUGGUGAUUUUCUUGCAUUCCCUUAAAUCAUUAUACACUUUUAACAAUAAUGAACGUGCUCUGUGCCGCAAGGCCAUUAAUAUAAUACAACUUUUAACAACGGAUCUCUUGGCUCUCGCAUCGAUGAAGAACGCAGCGAAAUGCGAUAAGUAAUGUGAAUUGCAGAAUUCAGUGAAUCAUCGAAUCUUUGAACGCACCUUGCGCUCCCUGGUAUUCCGGGGAGCACGCCUGUUCGAGUGUCGUGAAAUUUCUCAAGCUUGGAUGGCUUUUUGUCUGUCCUUAGCCUUGGUUGUUGGGCUUUGCCGUGUCCUUUGUUGGGACGGCUGGCCUUAAAAGCAUUAGCUGAUCCUUGUGUGNCACUGGUUCUACUCAGCGUGAUAACAGUCUGAUCGCUGAGGACAUCUUUUGGGAUGGCCAGUUCUCAUUUGGGUUGCUUCUAAACUUGGUUUUGCAGAUUCUUGAAUCUGUGUUCCACUUUUCAGCUUUGACCUCGA
rnacentral:rRNA from 1 species